GAUGAACGCUGGCGGCGUGCCUAAUACAUGCAAGUCGAGCGAACAGACGAGGAGCUUGCUCCUCUGACGUUAGCGGCGGACGGGUGAGUAACACGUGGAUAACCUACCUAUAAGACUGGGAUAACUUCGGGAAACCGGAGCUAAUACCGGAUAAUAUAUUGAACCGCAUGGUUCAAUAGUGAAAGACGGUUUUGCUGUCACUUAUAGAUGGUUCCGCGCCGCAUUAGCUAGUUGGUAAGGUAACGGCUUACCAAGGCAACGAUGCGUAGCCGACCUGAGAGGGUGAUCGGCCACACGGGAACUGAGACACGGUCCAGACUCCUACGGGAGGCAGCAGUAGGGAAUCUUCCGCAAUGGGCGAAAGCCUGACGGAGCAACGCCGCGUGAAUGAUGAAGGUCUUCGGAUCGUAAAACUCUGUUAUUAGGGAAGAACAAAUGUGUAAGUAACUAUGCACGUCUUGACGGUACCUAAUCAGAAAGCCACGGCUAACUACGUG
rnacentral:rRNA from 1 species